rnacentral:rRNA from 1 species
UACGUAGGGUGCAAGCGUUGUCCGGAAUUAUUGGGCGUAAAGAGCUCGUAGGCGGUCUGUCGCGUCGGCUGUGAAAACCCGGGGCUCAACCCCGGGCCUGCAGUCGAUACGGGCAGACUAGAGUGUGGUAGGGGAGACUGGAAUCCUGGUGUAGCGGUGAAAUGCGCAGAUAUCAGGAGGAACACCGGUGGCGAAGGCGGGUCUCUGGGUCAUAACUGACGCUGAGGAGCGAAAGCGUGGGGAGCGAACAGG